rnacentral:rRNA from 1 species
CCUACGGGAGGCUGCAGUAGGGAAUUUUCGUCAAUGGGCGCAAGCCUGAACGAGCGAUGCCGCGUGAGUGAAGAAGGCCUUCGGGUCGGAAAGCUCUGUUGCGGGGGAAAAAAGGCAGCAUCAGGAAAUGGGUGCUGACUGAUGGUGCCCCGCCAGAAAGUCACGGUUAACUCCGUGCCAGCAGCCGAGGUAAUACGUAGGUGGCGAGCGUUAUCCGGCAUGGUUGGGCGUGAAGGGUGCGCAGGUGGUCCUGCAAGUCUGGAGUGAAACGCAUGGGCUCAACUCAUGCAUGGCUUUGGAAACUGGAGGACUGGAGAGCAGGAGAGGGCGGUGGAACGCCAUGUGUAGCGGUAAAAUGCAUAGAUAUAUGGAAGAACACCAGUGGCGAAGGCGGCCGCCUGGCCUGUUGCUGACGCUGAGGCACGAAAGCGUGGGGAGCAAAUAGGAUUAGAUAUCCGUGUAGUC